CACAGAGGGAAAGGUCUGAGGAAUAGUGAGACAAGUUAUAUGACCAGGCGAGGGGAAGGCCUGUGUUAAAAUCUGUGAGGGGUUUCAAUGCUGGAUAAAUCUACGAGAUUAGAAAGGAACGAAAACCAAUGCUGAGGUUGCUCUGUUUCUGUCACCUGCUGGACAGAGAAACUCCCACCCCCUCCCUUCUGGGCUCCUUCCAAAGCCAUGCCCCCAAAACACGUGAACGCGCAUUGCCGACACCGCAGGAGGACGAGGACAGUGUGACGAGCAGAGAGCAGCGGCUGACAUCAGGGGUAAGAAAACAUCUAACUUUAUCAUUGUGAAAAUAAACAACUAACACGGCUGUUAGUACUCACUAUGAAGCUAGCAUGUUAUUAAUGGAUAGGUUAAAAAAACGACUUUUAAUCAGUAACGAGCUGGCUAGUUAACUGUUAGCAACAGGUAGCUGUGCUAACAGCUGUGGCAACAUGGGGCAAAGCUAAAAACAGGCUGAUACACAUUUUCUCGUUACCAUCAGUUAUACUACACGAACGUGUAUUUCGUGUUAGACUCAUAGCAUGUACGUUGUUAUACAUGUUAAGAGCUUCCAUGGUGACAGCAUUAUUAUCUCUGAUGAGGACUGCACCACAGAGCCAAGCACAAACCGGGACAGAACCAGGACUGGGGUCGAGGCGAAGCAGAGGAGGGAGGACUGCCACAUCUUCUAGGACCAGCAUAUGAACAGGCCAGAAUCUGAGCACUGUGGACAACAUCCAGACAACAGUGUUUCCAUGCACCACGCAAGGCUGACCUUCCAGACCCAGGACAGAGUAACAGACAGUUCAGUCAGGCAGCAUACAGACAGUUUGUAGCGUGGCAACGUGGAGCACUUGUUCACAGAGUUGUGAUACUAAGUUGCUGUUUCUGGAAGAUAUGCAACCGUUAUCCUGAUCUAUUAGGACAAUACAGAGGUUUAAUCGUAGCAGGGUGUAAGAUAUAAUGUCACCAACUGCUACACAAAUAAUUCCCUCCACUGUGUGAAUGAAUACCUAUACAUUGUUUUCGUUUUAUUCCCAGGAGGGUAGAGAAAAU